rnacentral:lncRNA from 1 species
ACCAUCUCAAGAUAGGUGUCCAGCCUGAAGGUAGACAAAGUUAUGAAGAAGUUCUCUGGCCUCUGAGAGAAACAAAUACCAUCUAAAUAUCCUCCAAGUCCAUAUGAGAGGCCCUAUGACGACAGAGCUUUUGUGACAUCAUUGUGAUCUAAUAUCAUAGGACAUUGAUGAGGGGGUUUGCUUAUCAAGGAGGAAAACAUGGAGAGUGCAUGAGAAGAGGAAGCCCCUAAGAGAUGAAGCCCCUAAGAAGUUCCCUUUAGCUCUUGAGAUCUGUGGUGGUUCAUCCCAUAUUUUAAGAGCUAUGGAACCACCCAAUAAGGAAACCUGAGUCAAGAUGACUUCCAAAGGUAUCAUUGGAACAUCUAUGGUCCUCAAAGAGCCCAGGAAAGUGCUUGCUGGCCUUUUAAAUAUGAUUUUGCUUUCCAUGGAGUACCACAACCAACAUCUGAUUAUUAUUUGGGAAUUUGAGUUCUGUCCACGUCAAAAAGAGUCACUAUGCUCUAUUUUGAAAUUCUAUUCCCAGAAGUUUCCAAGCUGCUUCCCUGUCUCUGCCUCACCCUCCACCACUUUCAACCUAGCCAAAUGCAGGAUGGAUCUUGAAAGGGCACCAGGAGAAACGAGAAUUAUCCGGCUUUCCAAAUCCUUCUCCAUGUCCCUCACAAGCAACCAUGCACAAGAAUAAUUGUUGGAGGCCAUCCAGGUGAAAGGAGAGCUUAACACUUCAGAUGGUUGAAGAAGGUUCAAGACCCCGGAAGAGCAGUUACACUAUUUGAUGGAACUCAUUAGCAUCACAGCUGACGAAUGAAUUAUGGGUCCCCUUAAAAACUUUUACACAAGUUUUGCAAAUUUA